GUUAGGAAUUUUUAGAGACACUAUAGCUACAAGCCUUUUUAAGAGAUAGCUCAGGAUGUUAGGGGCAAACAGGAUUUAGGAAGAUAAGUAGUAAACUGAGGAAUGCAGCAUGAGUUACAAUGUUAACUAUAGGACACAUUAGAAGAGGUAGAUAAUAGAUGAUAAGGCUGAUUCCGAGAGAAUCCCUGAAGCAGGAACUCUGUUUGAAGAGCAAUAAUGAUUUAUGGAGAUAAUAAAUCUGGGAGAGGGGGAGCUGAAAAUGUCAAACCUCUGGCCUAACGUUUUUGUAAAAGUAUAAAAGAGAAUCUUAAACUUGGAAUAAACAGGCAGUCCAAAAGAAAAUUGAGAGGCUGUCUCACUCGCCGACACCAUCCAUCUUUUCAGGUUGAAUCCCUGGCUGCUGGAGUUGGACUCCAGCAAGUGGCGCCCAGAACAGGGCACCCUGAAGAAAAGGGCUUCCCUGGUGGCUCAGAGGUUAAAGCGUCUGCCUCCAAUGCGGGAGACCCGGGUUCGAUCCCUGGGUCAGGAAGAUCCCCUGGAGAAGGAAAUGCCAAUCCACUCCAGUAUUCUUGCUUGGAGAAUCCCAUGGACGGAGAAGCCUAGUAGGUUACAGUCCACGGGGUCGCAAAGAGUCGGACACGACUGAGCAACUUCAUCUUACCUUAUCUCACCUAUGGGCUAGAAAAGGUUCCUGUAGAUGCCUUUGCUCUGUGGAAUAUGAUUAGAAAUGUCCUGGACCCC
ensembl:lncRNA